rfam:Camelus ferus unplaced genomic scaffold scaffold69740, whole genome shotgun sequence.
GAAGGUGUAGCUCAAGUGGUAGAGUGUAUGCUUAGCAAGCACAAGGACCUGGGUUCAAUCCCCAGGGCCUCCU